ensembl:miRNA gga-mir-6584 gga-mir-6584
GCAAAAAGGCAAAGGCAGCACACCAUCUGGAAGUUCUGCAGAUGAUGAUACCUUUUCUUCGUCAUCUGCUCCAAUAACUUUCAAAGAUGUGCGAGCUCAAAGACCUCUGA